rnacentral:rRNA from 1 species
AUGUGGGUUCAGCGGUACUGGAACAAAUCGAUCAUACUGGACGAUGAAAAGUUAGCAAUGUUCCCAACUGAGGAAGACCAUAAUGAUGAUCUUGAUGAUAACGACAAAUCUACACAUUCCACCCCACCAGUAACAGCUAAUAUAAGUACUGUACCUUGCCAGGAGAAACAAAGAAUUCCUCCACAGGUAGUACAAGCUUCAAGAAAGCGUCCGUCACAUCAAUCUACAGAUGAGGAGAAACAAAGAAUUUCUCCACAGAUAGUACAAGCUUCAAGAAAGCGUUCGUCACAUCAAUCUACAGAUGAGAAUUUGAUCAAACGGAUAAAGAAGCUUGAAGACAAGUACACAGCCGAACGACAAAAGUUGAUAACUGUGUCUGAACGCAAGCUUCAAAACAAACUGCAACAGCUUCAAAUUAAGAAAACCAAGGAAAUGGCAGCCUUGGUCCAGUCAGAGAUUGAUAAGGCUAUGUUACCGAUGAUUGAUGAUGAACGUCCAGGAAGUUCUCUGCAUAAUGAUGAUGCAACUUUGACGAAAGGAACUCUAGGAACACAAAGUCCAUGUCUCCAAUAUAGAUGA